rnacentral:pre_miRNA from 15 species
GAAGAAGCCGAGCCAGCGGCCGGGGAGAAGUACGGUGAGCCUGUCAUUAUUCAGAGAGGCAUGAUCCUCAUCUUUGAGAAGAAUCAUGAUGGGCUCCUCGGUGUUCUCCAGGUAGCGGCGCCACACCAUGAAGG